AUCACUCCUUGUAGAAGAAGAGAACAUCCUAUGUGAUCUCAUAGGAUGAUGACUCUGAGAGUCUCUGACAAGAGUAGGGAUGAACAAUAGAAAAAAUUUUUACUAGUUCAUCAAUCGAGUCAUCAUCAUCAGAUCGAGAUACAUAUGAAUAGAUAUUUGGACUUGACAUGAUUUCAUGCCCACGAUCUGUCUGGGAUGUUGUGUGAUCGAAGGAUUGAAUUACACGG
rnacentral:lncRNA from 1 species